rnacentral:rRNA from 1 species
UACGGAAGGCAGCAGUGGGGAAUAUUGCACAAUGGGCGAAAGCCUGAUGCAGCUAUGCCGCGUGUAUGAAGAAGGCCUUAGGGUUGUAAAGUACUUUCAUCGGGGAGGAAAAAAACAAAACUAAUAAUUUUAUUUCUUGACGUUACCCGAAAAAGAAGCACCGGCUAACUCCGUGCCAGCAGCCGCGGUAAUACGGAGGGUGCUAGCGUUAAUCAGAAUUACUGGGCGUAAAGAGCACGUAGGUGGUUUUUUUAAGUCAGAUGUGAAAUCCCUGGGCUUAACCUAGGAACUGCAUUUUGAAACUGAAAUACUAGAGUAUCGUAGAGGGAGGUAGAAUUCUAGGUGUAGCGGUGAAAUGCGUAGAUAUCUGGAGGAAUACCUGUGGCGAAAGCGGCCUCCUAAACGAAUACUGACACUGAGGUGCGAAAGCGUGGGGAGCAAACAGGGAUUAGAUACC